rnacentral:rRNA from 1 species
ACUGCUCAGUAACACGUGGACAACCUACCCUCAGCACGGGGAUAAACCCGGGAAACUGGGUAUAAUACCCGAUAGUUCUGGGAUGCUGGAAUGCUUCCAGGACGAAAGCUCCGGCGACUGAGGAUGGGUCUGCGGCCUAUCAGGUAGUAGUGGGUGUAAUGUACCUACUAGCCUACGACGGGUACGGGUCGUGAGAGCGAGAGCCCGGAGAUGGAUUCUGAGACACGAAUCCAGGCCCUACGGGGUGCAGCAGGCGCGAAAACUUUACAAUGCUGGCAACAGCGAUAAGGGGACCUCGAGUGCCAGGAUACAAUCUUGGCUGUCGUAAUGCCUAAAAAGCAUUGCAUAGCAAGGGCCGGGCAAGACCGGUGCCAGCCGCCGCGGUAACACCGGCGGCUCGAGUGGUAACCGCUAUUAUUGGGUCUAAAGGGUCUGUAGCCGGCCGGAUAAGUCUUUUGGGAAAUCCAGCUGCUUAACAGUUGGGCUUUCAGAAGAUACUGUUCGGCUCGAGGCCGGGAGAGGUGAGAGGUACUUCAGGGGUAGGGGUGAAAUCUUGUAAUCCUUGAAGGACCACCAGUGGCGAAGGCGUCUCACCAGAACGGUCCUGACGGCAAGGGACGAAAGCUAGGGGCACGAACCGGAUUAGAUACCCGGGUAGUCCUAGCCGUAAACGAUACUCGCUAGGUGUCAGCCACGGUGCGACCGUGGUUGGUGCCGUAGGGAAGCCGUGAAGCGAGCCACCUGGGAAGUACGGCCGCAAGGCUGAAACUUAAAGGAAUUGGCGGGGGAGCAC